CGCUCUGGGGGUGCUGUGGUGGCUCCUGCCGAGAAGCUGCUGAGCGCCGGGUGGCCGGGCCCAGGCCCUGCUGCCAAGCCACCGCAGAGGAUGGAUGGCAUUGAUGAGCCAUGAUGGAGAGAGGAAGACCCUCUGGAGGGGACCUGAGAGGACUCCAGGGAGAACGUAAGAGGGCACCGGUGGCACAGCAGAGGAAGCCUGGACAGGAAGUGGGCCAGGGAGCAGCUCCUCUUCUUCCUCGGGGCCUGGAGGGACUGGGAAUGAGCCCAACAACAAUGCGGUCAACGCCAGCUGGGACCAGUGUGCUCUGCAGCUCACUCGGAGCUGCUAGGGAAAGGAGAACGUGCAACCCCAAUCCUGUGCCAGCCUCUUAUCUCUGACUCUCUUCCCUGCUCAUCCCAGACCCUCUUAGGGGGAAGCCUCCAGUUUCCCCUCCACUCAACUCAUGUGCCCCAAGCCCAGGUGGCCUCUUAUUUUACCUGCACC